rnacentral:lncRNA from 1 species
CCCUGUGGUGCUAUUCCUCCACGGCUUCCCUGAGCUCUGGUACUCUUGGCGCCACCAGAUCUUGACUCUCAGCUCCCGCGGAUACCACGCAGUGGCUCCCGAUCUCAGAGGCUACGGUGACACCGAUUCCCCUAUUUCAAUAACAACCUAUACAUGUUUUCACAUAGUGGGUGACAUCGUUGCACUCAUAGACCAUUUGGGUGCCAAACAAGUCUUCCUUGUAGCUCAUGAUUGGGGAUCCAUCAUCGGUUGGUACCUCUGCAUGUUUCGCCCUGAAAGAGUGAAAGCCUAUGUUUGCCUCAGUGUCCCUUUUCUCCCCAGAAACCCUGAAAUCAGGACUGUUGAUGGCAUGCGCCAUGCGUAUGGAGAUGACUACUAUAUCUGCAGAUUUCAGGUUCUUCAAUUCAUUCUCAUUUACCUUUUUCUACAUGGAGAUCAGUCAAUUUGAUUUCUGAGAGUUAACAUUAUAGGCACGAUGUUAGGAAUAUUGUAAAAAAUUAGGACCUUAAUUUUAUAGAGGCAAAUGGAUACUCAAUUUUGGUAAUCCAACAAAAAUUACAUUUUGAACUAAUAAGUCCAUUGUAUAAACAGAAGUUAAUGUAGAUUUUGAUUGAUGCUGAUGAUGGAUUAGGAAGUUAAACUAGAAGUUUCUGGGAAAUGAAGUGAGAACUUGAUUAGUGUAAUCAUAAUUGUUUUUGUGUGACAGGAGCCAGGGGAAAUGGAGGCUCAGAUGGCUGAAGUUGGAACUGAAUAUGUGCUGAAAAAUAUCCUUACAACUCGGAAACCUGGUCCUCCAAUCUUUCCCAAAGGAGAGUAUGGAACUGGAUUCAAUCCAGAUACCCCUAAUACCCUGCCCUCUUGGCUCACACAAGAGGAUCUUGCUUAUUUUGUCUCCAAAUUUGAGAAAACUGGUUUCACUGGAGGACUGAACUAUUACAGAAACUUGAACUUGUAAUUUUCUAAUUCCCUGUUCUGCUUUGAAAUUAAUGUUUUUUUUUUUUUUGGGGGGGGGGGGGGGAUAGUAUCAAUUUGUAGAGAGCUACAAAAUUCCUGAAAACUAAAGACAAUGAGUUUUGUUGUGUUGUGCUGUGUGGAUGAAUUUGCAGAAAUUGGGAGCUGACAGCACCAUGGAGUGGAGGGAAAAUCAAUGUGCCUGUGAAGUUCAUAACAGGAGAGUUAGACAUGGUGUACACCUCUCUAAACAUGAAGGAGUAUAUUCAUGAUGGAGGAUUCAAAGAAGAUGUGCCAAAUUUGGAGGAAGUGAUUGUGCAGAAAGGAGUGGCUCACUUCAACAACCAAGAGACACCAGAUGAAAUUAGCAAUCACAUAUAUGACUUCAUCAAGAAGCACUGAUCUGGUCCAAAAAUUGAAAUAAAUAAAUUUAUUGUGGCUAAUAAUAAGGGAAGGGAAAUUAUGGAACUGCACUAGCACGAAUGGCCGUGAGUAGUUUAUCUUUGGUCUACCAUUGUAUUUUAACAAAUAUAUAAAUCUUUCAUAGUUUUUCAUUGUUAUUGGCACAUUUUUUAAAUUUUUAUCCACCCAAAGUUUAUCAGCAAAAGGGGCCUGCCACUGAUAUUUUGGGGAAUAUCAUGACAAAAACGAUGUCGCACUAAAAACAAAUACCAUCCCUUUCAAUACAUUUAUUAUUUAAGCCUUAAAGUUACUAUUAAAAAUAGAUUCUUUAUUAAAAUGUCUUUAUUAAUACUUAUUUAUGUCAUUUAUUAAUCUUUUAAGUUUACACAACUAACACCUACUAUCUCUCUCUUUCACAAAGAUUAUUGUUUAAAAUUGUGACACGUAAGGUGACAAUUAUUAAUAAUAUAAUGUAACUAAAGUAUCAUUAUUUAAAUUUACUAGUAUCAUGUGUAACUAUUAAAUUCUACUUGAAUAGAAUUGCAACUUUGGUCGCUGACGUGAGAAAAAAGAGUUGUGGUUGAUUAAUAAAGAGUUGUGGUUGAUUAAUAGUAGUAUGAAAAAUGAUGAGUGAGAAAAAAAAGGCUUAAUUGCAACUUUGGUCGCUGAUGUUCACCAAUUCUACAAUUUUAUUCCCCCACCUAAUUUAAUUACACGGAUGGUCCCUGACUUUGAUGCUCGUCUGCAAUGUUGGUCCUGCCGUUUAUUUGUUAACGGAGGAGGCUUACGUGGAUGUCUAAUUGGAGAGAGAAAGAAGGACUGAAGAGAGAGGGAAGCACGUGAGUUGCACGUGAGACCUGCAACGGUCAUCUUCUACCCUCUUCCUCCUUAAAAAACAGAGCAUAGUGUGGAAGAUGUUUCGAAGCUUGAGAUUUAGCGAAAAAGGAAGAGAUAAAGAACGAACGAGCCCCUAGAGGUGAGGAAGAAGGUUGAAUCAGUUGCUGGUCUCUUUCUCUCUCCAAUUCAACUUCCACAUCAGCUAAGUGACUAUCCACGUAAACCUCCUCCAUUAACAAACAAACGGUAGGACCAACGUUGCAGACUGCCAGCAAAGUCAGGGACCAUCUGUGUAAUUAAAUUAGGUGGGGACUAAAAUCGUAGAAUUGGUAAACGUCAGGGACCAAAUUUGCAAUUAAGCCCAAAAAAAUAUUAAAUGAGGGUGUAGAUCGAAAAAAAUUAGCAAAAAAAUACAUUGACUUUCUAAAACAACAAACAUUUUAGAAUAUUGAAGAGUGUAUAAAACAAUUGCAACAAAGCGAGUAUCAAUGUUUACACAUUAAUCCAUCAAAGGGAAUAAGCAGGUUGACUGCUUCACACAAAAGAGUAGUUUUACGGUACCUCACCUUAGUGGACCAAUAAAAAAAUUAGUUUACCUAAUGUGAUAAAAUUAUCCUUAAUUGGUGAUUUAAUUUAGACAACCCUAUAAAAUAAUAAUAGAUUAAGGUAAAAGAUGGCAGAAAAAUUAAGGAGUCAAAAUUAAGAGUAGUGCUAUUUAGACCUAAGGAUUUGGAGUAAAGAUUGCUGAUGGAGAAAAAAAAAAAGGACUUGGAGUAAGUAACUUACGAAUGAUGACAUGUAAGAGCAUCUCCAAUGGAGUCAUUAUUUUGGGAUCUUAAAAUAAGAUCCAGAUCUUAUUAAAUCUCACCAUUGGAGCUAUCCUACAUGACAUGAGAUCUUAGCAAAAGCUAAGAUCCAUGCCUUAGCUCAGGUACUCUUAAAUCUGGGAUCUUAAAUAAAAUAAUAUUUUUUCGCUCUCCUUCUAUACUAGAACCAAAGUGAAAAAUAGGGAGGGAAAUAAAUAAUAUAAAUAUAUUGGGUAUCGUGGGUUUAAUCAAAAGUAAAACAAGAUCUCAACCAGUAAAGUGAUAUGUGCAUGUGGACCUUAUGAGUGUCUUAAAUCCUAUGUGACAGUUUGGACCCACAAAAAGUGAAUUAAGUCCCAAAAUAAGAUCUCAUCAUUGGAGAUGCUCUAAGUUUCUAAUUAGUGGUAAUAACACCAUACAAUAGUGGAUUGGAAAAUACUUAAUGAUUGACCAAUCAAAACCGUUAGUUGUGUUAUGCGAACUAUCGUUUUGUACUCAAGAGCAUUUUCCCAAAAUUAAUAGAAGAGAAAAUGGAUAUUAGGGACUUAGACAAGAAUUUUAGACAAGAUUUUAAUAAAAAUUAGAAUAUUAAUAUUUUUUCGUGUUAAAACCUUUUUUAUAUGCGAAUGUUAGUUGUUAAUUGUUAGUAAAUUAAUUUCUUCAUCAGGAUUUAAACUUUGACCCUUCGCCCUGCAAUCCCUACAUUUCUCUUAGCUCACCGACAUAUAAAAAAUGAUAAGAGUAUUCUUUAAAUGGUAGUACAAGGAUUUGUAGAAAGAUAUAGCACUCCUCUUUAUUGGCUUACUCUGAAAAUAACUAUUACCUCGAUUCUAAAAUGUUGGGGUAUGUUUAUUGGUUAAGGUUAUAUGCAUUAGGGGUCGGGUCGAAUAUAACAUUUCUAAUGGAUUUUGCUUGGCACAAUAUUUUAAUCUAAGUGUACAAUGAUGUAAAAAAUAAAUCUAAGUGUACAAUGAGAUGCAUUUCUAGUUUUCUACUAUAAUAUUUUAUCAAAGAUACCUGAUUGCUAGAAGAUUGGAGCUUUUAUGACAUGGAAUCGAAAAUCUCUAUAUGAUGUUAAUGUAGGAAAUUAUAAUCCUCCGUGCACAAUUUUUGCAUACGCAAAGGCAAUGCAUGUUUUGAAGCUAGUGGGUGCAGUUGUAAGUGUUUGUCUUUCAUCAAACCAACUAGUUUGUCAAACAUGCACCCGUCCAUAAAUCCUAAGAAGUUGAUGACGUGAAAAUGUAUUAGACUCGAGUCAGACAAGUUAAUAGACCGAUCCGAGUCCUAUACAUUCAUAAUAUGCAUAGUUUAAGUACUCAUUGUGAGAUUUUUAUUCUCACUUGAUGUAAAUGUCAUUAAACAACUCUUUAAUUUUAAUCUAAGCAUCUUUAAAAACAAAAAAGAAGAAGAAGAAUAUUUUGGCCCCCAUUUUCCUCCUAAUAGAGAAAGCAUAAGCAAGGCAUAUGUAAUUAUUCGAUCUAAACAUUUUAUUCUACACCUAAUCUAAUUAGACAAAUAAGAAAAGACUACCUAAAGUAACAUUAGUUUAUUCUCUACCUUCUGCAUAACAAUAGAUUUUAGUAAUAAUAUUCUUGUUUCAAUUUCAAAAUUAAAACAAUUUGUCUCUGGACAUGAAGCGCAUGAGGUUACUUUGUUCCUUAAUGUCCCUGAGCUCAGGGAGCAUUUACCGCUUAAAACUUGCACUUAAGUGAAGAGAUUAGUCAUAUUGUUGUUGGCCGUGGAAAUUAAGCUAAGAAAAAAACUAAAGCCACUAAAUAAAAUUGAAACAUAUGCAUAAUAAAUUAUUGAACACUACUAGCAUGUAGCAAGGGUUAUCAAAAUCACCUAUCUCUUAAUAACUUUACUAAAUCGUUAUGGACAAAUUAAAUGAUAAAUAUAAGAUAUAUAAGUAGGUUGAGAAUUUUAUAAUUUAUUUCUUUAUUUUUCAUAAAGAAUUUCAUUGAUCCAUAAAAGCAGGAUAAAGUUAUCAUCAUUUGUGGUUUAGACAAAUUUCAUUCAUUAUUAAUAUGUGUAUGACCAAAUGCAUACAUCUAUUUCCUCUCUUUUUCUCUCCAUCUCUUUUAGUGAUCAUAUCACAGUACUAUACUACUUCUAUUUCUCUAUUAUCUAAAUCAAAUUUUAUUGACUAGUAAUAUUCCUAGUUUAAUGUGUAACAAUGCCUUGUCGUACAGUUUCCCGGCCAUGACUAAACCGUGAAAGCUGAACCACAUUCCUAGUUAAAUCCGUCAACAACAACAUCUCUUUCUCAUUCUCUCCCUCUCGUGAUAGUAAUAUAUAUCACUGUCCACAGUCCUCACCGCACAGCACACAAAGCACCAUGGAAACCAUACAACACACGACGGUGGAAGCCAACGGCAUCAAAAUGCACGUGGCGGAGAAAGGCCAAGGCCCCGUCGUGCUCUUCCUCCACGGCUUCCCGGAGCUCUGGUACACGUGGCGCCACCAGAUUCUCUCCCUCAGCGCCCUCGGCUACCGCGCCGUCGCGCCCGACCUCCGCGGCUACGGCGACACCGACGCCCCCGCUUCCGUCACCAGGUACACCUGCUUCCACAUUGUCGGCGACGUCGUUGCGCUCAUCGACUCGCUUGGCGUCGACCAGGUCUUCCUGGUGGCGCAUGACUGGGGAGCUAUGAUUGGGUGGUACCUCUGCUUGUUCCGCCCUGAGAAAAUCAAAGCCUAUGUUUGCCUCAGUGUUCCUUUCAUGCCCAGAAACCCCAAAGUCAAGCCUGUUGAUGCCAUGCGUGCUUUGUAUGGAGAUGAUUACUACAUCUGCAGAUUCCAGGUUCCUCUUUCUUCUUCGUCUUUUUUUUUAAGUUCACAUGAGAACUAAUCUUCAGUUCCACUGUCAGCCACACUAUGCAAGAGUAACCAAUAAUUUUUUUUCCAUACGUAAGAAUUGAAUAAUGUUACUUUCAUACCUCACUUUGAGGUGGAAAAAGAUAGAAUGAGGAGAGAGAUAGAGAGAAAGUAUGAAAUAUGAGUAGAAAUGAAGUGUUUAAAAAAUGAAGUGUGUAAAUAUCAUUAUUGGUAAGAAUUAAGAAUUAAACGCCCAACUUUUUCAUCCACUUACUUAGAGUGCUGAAUUACUAUGCUACCCACCCAUUUGGUUUCUUUCUUUUUCUUAUAAUAAUUCUAACAAUAAACUCACUUUACCCAUUUUUAUUCUUUUGCUAUAUUUGUAACUAUAGUUAUUGUUAUACUUAAUUGUGAUAAAUUAAUAACACGCCAUUGAAAUAUUCUCUCUAACUAACCAUGGUAAAGAUUUUAAUUUGUGGUUCUUGGAGUGGAAUGCAAUUGUGGCCGCGCGCUUCAUGCGAUAAGAUUUCCAAUUUAGUAUCCGGAGGUUUUGACCUUUAAAUGAUCGAUGUCUUUGGAAAUUAGAUUUUGUAUCAAGUUUGAUUCUACUUCUACAGUAUAAACGUGAUUAUGUAUAUUCAAUCUGAGAACAAUACACAUGAAGGAGUGAAGAGAUUUAGGUGUGAUUAAAUUCUGAAUUUAGAAUAGUUGACCUAUGACCAAGAAUAUACUGGGUGGUUUUAAUAAAAAUCCCAAAUUGUAAGAAUAUAUAAUUUUCUUAGAUGUAAAUUAUUAAUUGUGUUAGAAAUAUAAGCAUUCAUGUGUCAUUUACAAAAUAGUUUGAGCUUUUGUGUAAUUAGUUGUUUACAUGGUAUCAAAGGUUCUACCACUAAGUUAUUUGGAGUUUGAUUCUUGUCGUCCUAAAUUCUUCUAAUAAAAAGAAAAAAAAAAUGAAUUUCAGCUUUAAGCCCAAGUGGGCUCUUGUACAAUGUUGUGUGUUAAAAACAUUAUUAUUCAUGUGUCAUUUACCCAAUAACUUAAAUUUUAGGAAUAAUUGAUUAUUUAUGAUAAAUUAUUGUAUAUCUUGUAUCUUAUGCUCAAUUAAUUCAUGGGAUAGGAGCCAGGCAAAGCUGAAGCUGAACUGGGUAAAGUUAGCACUGAGUUGGUAAUAAAAAACGUGCUCACUGGUCGCCGGCCUGGUCCACCAAUCUUGCCAAAAGAAGGGAUGGGGUCCAAUCCAGAUGCUACGAGACCCCUUCCCUCUUGGUUAUCACAAGAAGAUGUGGCUUAUUACGCUUCCAAAUUCCAAAAGACAGGCUUCACUGGUGGCCUUAACUACUAUAGAAACCUAAAUUUGUAAUAUCCUAUUUAAUUUUUGUCUUUCCCUUCAUGCAACUUGGAUGAUCAAUAAAUGAUUUUUUAUGUUGUUUAAAUAUGUAUAUCUUGUACUUGUUGAUAGCAUAUUCAUUCUUGUAUUUUCAGAAAUUGGGAGCUAGCAGCAGCUUGGACUGGAGCACAAGUUAAAGUGCCCGUGAAAUUCAUCACUGGUGACUUGGAUGUAGUGUACACUUCACUAGGGAUGAAGGAUUAUAUAAAUAGCGGUGCUUUCAAGAGAGAUGUGCCAAAUUUGGAGGAAGUGGUUAUACAAGAAGGGGUGGCUCAUUUCAACAACCAAGAAGCAGCUGAAGAAGUCACUAAUCACAUUUAUGAUUUUAUCAAGAAGUUCUAAUCUUAUUAACUACUCAUUUGUCUCUGCUCACACAGUUUGAUUAAAAUAAAUCGAUUACCACUAUGUGGCUAUGCAUGUGCUACUUGGGCAACUUGAUGUUACGUACGUUUGCAGGCUCGUUGAUUAUUUAAGCUUUGUUUUUGUUCGUGAUCGUGACAUUGUGGAAACUGGAAAUGUACCACUCAUUCGAAUAGUUUACUUGUCUAGAUCGCAGUCCUGAAGUUAUAAUUUAUUUGAUUUUGUUAUGUUGCUUGAAAUUAUGCUCGGAGCUGAAGUUAUUUAAAGGAAGGAAUAUAAUUCAAAUCGUGAUUUGAGAUUUUGGUAAUCAUAAGGAAUUCUUUACACUAUGUGGUGGACCCUCAUUUAGGUAAAGCUUGACUAAUAAUCAAGAACAUGAGAAAUUUGGGGUCAAAUUGUUUGAAAAAUCAUGAAGUACUACUCCAGUUUUAAAAUUAUUUAACUACGAAGCGCAUGAAUUUGGUAGGAGUAGUAGAGGACUUAUUCUAUUUCUCGUACAAAAACAAAGUGUGCAUUGGGGGUCGGACUACAGUAUAGUGCAACAAGUCCUGCAAUUUAUACUCCCUCCGUUCCUAAAUAACUGGUAUAAUUUUGGCUAAAUUUUUGUUCCUAAAUAAUUGACACUUUACAAAGUUCAAGAGUGCAUUUAUUUAUUUUUACCUAUUUUACCCUUCAAUUAAAACUCUUCGUAAUUACCCACACAAUUAUCCAAGAAUGAAUUGUUGAUGGUUCCCAUAAUAGUAGAGUAAAUUACUUGAACCAAUUCCAAUGUCAACAAUUACUACUUCAGAUGACAAACGAAAGGGCAAAAAGACUCGUGUGUAUCCAUUCCAAUAUUUAAACCAAUAAAAGUAGAAUAUCUCAACACUAUUCCAAUUCAUAUGAAAUAGAAAUUACAAUGGGUGCAGUGAAGAAUGAUUUUGGUACACAAAUGUAUGGAGGUAAAGAGUUCAACAGUUUUUUUUAUUGAAAACAUGAAAUAUGAAGCAACCAAAAGACAUGAGUAAAUGGGUUAGCAUAAUUUUUUUAAUGAACACAGAUGUGAAAAGAGAAUAUGGAGUACGAAGGUUUAUCUUCAUAAUUCACAUUGGAUAUAGGAGUAUGAAAAUGAGUACACUAAAUGAGUAGAAUAAUCAAGUAAGUCUCAUUUAAUGGUGUAAAAUGAUGAGAAAAUUUAUGAGCAGGUGAGAUAAAGGGUAAUAUUGGAACACAAUGAGUAAUUUUAAUAGAAUAAUUGCAUUUCUUAAUAAGUGUGUAGAAACCUUAAAGUGUCAGUUAUUUAGGAACGGAGGUGUAGUUGUUAAAAGUCUUGGCCCGCGGGCCCUGUCCAUGGUAUCUCCAUCUCAUUUAUUAAAGUAGAUUCCCUCAGUGACCAAAAAAAAAAAAGUAGAUUCCCAUGCACGCUAAAUAUGUGCACUAAGAAAAUAGUAAACAUUUAAAAAGAACUUGUGCUGCCAUCACCCCAUUGGCUGAUAGGGGAUCAAUCACUAAUGCACCCAUUUAAGAUGUUUCCAGGCAUUAGUAUGUGCACUAAUAAAUGUGUUCAUCUAUUCGAUUAAAUACUUUCAUAUCCUGAUUAGACUUUUGAUCAUAACAAGGAACAACUAGUCAUGAAGAGAACAACUAGUCAUAAAGAUAAGACUUUUAUUGGUUUUAAUUUCUUUAUAUAUCUUGUGUAUGUUUAGACUUUGAUAUAUAAGUUAAGUGUAUAUAACUUAAACAAACCUUCAUCUUAAUUUAUAAAAAAAAUGAUUUUUUUUAAUUUUAAAAUGCAUGCUAAUAUUUAUUUACAUUGAUGCUGACACAUAUUACAAACAGUUGCAAGCAGUGUUUUAAGUAGGGGUGUACAAGGAACGGGUUGGGACCGGUUUUGGUUAAUCCUAACCCGGCCCUAAAGAUUGAUCGGGCCAAUUCAUAGACUCUAACCCGUCCCUAGACCCGAAGCAACCCGACAUUAUGCGGGUCCAAUUUAAGACGUGUCUAUGUAUGACGGGACCGGGUUGGCCCGGAGGUCGACAAUAAGUUUAAGACUAUUUGAUACUAAUUGUAAAAUUUAAAGAUAAUAACAUACUAAAAGAGUUACAAGUUGAAACUAUUUUUUGGAAGAAAUAACUUGAAAGGGUCUAAUUCUUUCAUAAUCUAUUGCACUUGAGGUUUGCAUUUUGUUUGAUCAUUUCUUCACCUGUCUCACAUAUGCAUAAUACACACACAUGAUUUUCUCUUGUUAGAACAUGAAAGUGUGCAUAGUUUGACAAAUGUUUAUUUAAUUCAUAAGGUGUUAAACAUUUUAAUCUCAUCUACAUGGCAAGAUAAAUUUGAGCACCAUGUAUCGCAUUUUAAUAAUUAUAACAAAUUAAAAUUUUAUAAAAUAUAUAUGUGGGACGGGCCGGGUGACCCGAGUGUCAACCCGAACCCGACCCUACCCGAAGUUGGGUAACUCAAAGAUCAACCCGAACCCGGUCUCUUUUAAUGAUCGGGCCGGGUUCAACCCGGCCCUAAAGACUUGGACCAGGACGGGUUGGCGGGUAGAGCCGGGUCUUGUACACUCCUAGUUUUAAGACUCGGCUCGGUGGUCGACUCGGCCGGGGUACUGAGUCAAUGAGUCACAGGUCGGACCAGUGGGUCAAUGGACGGACUGCUUGACUCGGUCUAUAUUAAAAUAUUCUAAAAAUAACCAUUGCAAUGUGAAGUUAAGGUAUAUAUUUUAAAAAACGUAUGUAAUAAUCAAAUAGCAUCUUGGUUCAUUGGUACAUGUUUUCCAUUAUUUCAUACAGGUCCCGUGUUCGACUCCUCCUCUCACCAGAUUUUAAGUAUUAUUUCACGUUUUUUGUCUACUUCAUCAUGUUAUUAGCAGAAUUCAAAUAAAAAAGACCCACUGUACCAAAAAAUUGUUGUUAACAGACUUUAAAAAAAUAAUGAAAGACCCAUUGUAUUAAAUAAUUAUUAGCCAGCUCCACUCCAGUCUAAUUGGGCCUCACAUGUAAGCAUGACCCAUUAACAAAAGAUUUAAAAAAAAAUGGGUGACUCGCUAGUCUGACUGAAAGUCGACCGAGUCACCGUUCAAUUGAUGAACCGGCCGAGUCAAACUGGUUCCGACCGAGUUGCUUGCAUAACCGAUCUGAUAAGAGGCUCAGACCGGUCAAGUGACCGAGUCCCCGUCCAACCGGUUGGACCGGCCGGUCCGAGCCGAGUUUUAAAACUAUGGUUGCAAGUUAAACAAAAUUGGCCUAGUUGGUGGGUCCAAUCGAGAUAUAGUAGUCUCCUAGGUUUUACUUUGCAAAAAAGAAUGAAAUAUUAUAUUUUUAUGAUUCAAUGGUACUUAAGUACGAAAAAUACAUUUAGGAUUGAUUUACUAACUUCUCUUAAUCAAUAAGUAAAACAUGUAUAUAACAGUAAAAAAGAAAGAUAAUAAGUAAAAAUAAAGUGAAAGAGAGUGAUUUAUAAAAGUUAUUUUAGAAAGUCUUCUUGCAUUAGUUGGCAAGUGAAAGAUUUAAAGACUAAUCUCUUAUGAUACGUGUACUAAAAAAUAUGUGCACUAAAAAAAUAAAUUUGACAACAUUUUGGUGAGGAGAAAAAUGAUUAAUUGGUAUCUGUUAACCAGAACAAUGAGAGGCUGGUGCUUUGGUAACUUGGAAUAACAGUGGCUUUGAAUGAGCGAUUGUGAUUACUUUAUAUUCACUGGACAUAAUUCCAGAUUUAAAACUGAUUAUUGUAUAGAAAUCCCACAGCCAUUCUUGAUCCAAUCUUCUAUAUUAUUUAUCUGUGUUUCCUGCCCAAUAAUUUCAUACACAAAAUACAAUGGAAAAGAUUAUUAUCAUCAGUCAUGUCAGUUCUUGCAAUAUUUUCCCCUUUUUUUAGUAAAGAAGAAUUUAGUGUUGACAAAGAACAUAGAAUUAAUGAAAGAACAUAUUUGGAUGGUAAAGAUGUGAUAUCGAUAGUAGCAGUUGCUGGAAACGUGCUUUUUCUGUUAUUGUUUAUUUUGUCUGAGAUAUUCAAAAUCUGUCUGAUGCAGAAUUCCGUGGCUGAAGCUGCAAGUGCGACACAGGAUCAAGUAGGGGGAUCAGUUGGCCAAGGUUACAAAGCAUAUCCAACAAAUGCUCCUGUUUAUGCAUCUCUACCCUCUAGCACCGGCGACCAUACAGGCCAUGCACCUUCUGCAGAUUAUGGCUCCAUGUAUGGUACCAAUUAUGGUUAUUAAGAUCCUUACAUUCAAUUUUUGCCGAGGAAUCUAGUGUAAUAAGAAAAUUCAAUGCUUAAUUUAUUUGAAGGAAUAAAGAAAAUAGAAAGUACUCCUGAUAUUUGAAAUUUGAACUUGGGCUGACAAGCCACAUUUUGAGGAUAGAUUGGUUGAUACCUUUGACAGGAAAUAGAUGUUUUAAAGUAUUUAAGAAUACUUCAUUCAAUAUAAAUUUCUCAACAUACAUAUUUGAAAUGCUAGAGAUACAUGAGAAAAAGAAAAGUAAAAGAUGCGUGGGCUUCAUGUGUAGAUAACAAAAUUCGCUUCAAGCAAAGAAAAAUCCAGCCCACCAUAAACAUUUUUUUAUUAAAAAAGUAUCUUAAAACAUCUUAAUUUUUUUUAUAUUUUUGUCUAAAUGUAAAACUAUAUUUGUUCCUACCAAAAUAAGAAAAAGAGAUUAUCACAUUUCUUUUUCUUCAUUUUCUCUUAUUUUUCAUAAAAAAAUAUCAUGAUCUUCUCAAUUUCUCAUUAUUUUCUCUCAUAAAACCAAACGCUUAUAGACUUCUUGAAGCUUAUAGACUUCGCGAACCUUAAAAUAUUUGCUGGCAGAAAGGCACGUAAACUGUCUUAUAAACAGUGUUAUUAAACUCGACUCGAUGAUCGACUCGGUCAAGGGAUUGAAUUAAUGAGUCAAUGGUUCAACCGGUGAGUCAAUGGUUCAACCGCUUGACUCGGUAUAUAUUAAAAUUUAAUUAUAUACUUACAUAAAACUUAAGUAUUAGUAUAAAAAUGGUAAAGCAUAUAAAAUAAUAAAAUAUAAAAAUCUGUACGGUCAAUUGUAUUUGAAAUUAAAUAUCCUAUACUUAACUUCUAUUCUUAAGAUUAUUAGUAUUUUGUAGUGUACAUUAUUACUUAUUGGUUAGAUUUAAGAUUAAUUAAGCACGGGCUUAGAUACUAGUUUUGUGACAAGAAAGAAAAAAUGUGGGCUAUAAAUACGCUUGGUUCAUGGACCCUUGGUUCACUUCAUAUGUCAAUGGCGUGAAUGAAAUUAAUUUUCAAUAAAGGCGUUUUCUUCCGGCUGCUAUAUAACUAAUCUUUUCAAAAUUUGAGUUGUGUUUGCUGUUUGAAUUGAUGAAGUAUAAUGAAGUCGAUUAGAGCCAAAUAUAAUGGAAUUGAGUAUAGUGAAAUGGAACAAAUAUUAUUUGGAUAGUGAGCGGAAUUACUUAUAACUUUUUGGGGUCAGUUUAGUGGAUAUGAUAAGAUAAUAGUAAUCAUAUCCUCUUGUAAUAUCUCAUUUUUUUGUGUCAGCAGGAUAGAAUAACAUUAUCUUGUCAUUUAUCCUAUCAUGUCUAAAAGUUAUCAUGAGGGGAGAGUUAGGAUAGAAAUUAUCCUGACAUGAUAUGAUAUCAAUUUAUGAAUAUUAUGAAUUUUUGUUUUAAGGGAAAAUUUGAUACAUUUUUCAUUGUUUCUAUCGAAUCUUAUCUAUAUCAUGUUCAUCUCAAACGCAAUAUAAGAUAUAUAUUUAUUGUAUGAUUUUGAAAUAUUAAUAUAAAUCAAAAAAAUCAUUUGUAUUAAAGCAACUUAUCCAAUGUAAAAAAAUAUAAUUCUUUAUAUAUUUUGUGGACAUAAGCAAUGAAAUAUAUCAAUCAAGAAGUCUAUUAUUGUGAGAUGUGAGAGUAUCAAAUCGUGAGUGUAUAAUCAUAAAUGGGUGGUUUAAAUUUAAUAUCAUUUAAAAUUAUUUUGAUGUAAAAUGUUCCUCCCGUGGGAGCUUUUCUAAAUUAUAAUUUAAACAUAAAUAAAUAUAUACUAUAUAUAUAUUCUAAUUUUUUUAUGAUAUAUUAUGAAAAAGAUAAUAAAUAGAGCUUUUCUAUUUGGACGAUUCUCACUUAGGAUCUCAUAUAUUUUUCAAGUAGUAAAAUCUUAUAAAUCAUUGUGCUUAAUUUGCAAGAGAUGUGCUUAAUUUGGAUACAACGUGGAGUCUUCCUCACCAAAACAUGCCCUAACCAGUUAUGCUUCUUCUUCUUAAUGAUCUUCGAUAGCAUUAUGUUAAGAUUUAAGAGUUCAGUUUUCCAAUCAAACUAAACAAAAAGGAAUUAUAUAUUUUCAAUGGAAUUCCUUUUUUUUUAUCCAGUUUUUUAUUCUUCUUAAAAUAUAAAAAAUAUAUUAGUUAUAGCAUGAAAAUUUUUAAUUUCUUAAACCCCGUUGCUCUCGUGGGAGUUUUUAAUAUAUAUUACUCCCCGUGAAAGUAUUUUCACUAUCCAAUGCACCCAUUGAGAAAUUGUUAAUCACUAUUUGUUAAUCACUUUCUGAUGAAAUGUGGGAUUGUAGUUCAUAGGCCUCCAUCUCACAAAAACAAAAUAGCAUGAAACAAUAAAAGCCCUCCCUUUGUUAAAUGUUUUGCAAAUAAACUUGAGUUCAUAAAACAACACGAUGAAGUAGCCAUUUAAGCUUGUAAGUGCUUUCACUCUAAUGAGUUCAAAUGAAAUCUUUGGCAAUGUUUCUCGCUGCCACCUAAAAAAGAGAAUUGGAUAAAUAAAAAUGUUCAUACAAACCAGAUCUUUCUUUCUCUAAUCCAAUUCUUUGAGCAUAGUCGAUUUUCAAGCUUCAAGGGAUAAACUCCAAACCACAAAAUAUAUUGCAAGCCACAAAAAAGAACUAACAGCAUACACUAAUUAGUAUUCUAGAUAAAUGAUGAAACGUAGGGCCAGAUUCUAGAACUUUCAAAAAGCUCAUGUUUUUUUAAAAGCACAAGCAUUCAAGUAGAGAGGAAGAACUUGAAGGACUCUAUGUGUCAUUUAGUACUCAACAACAAAGACAAACAUAGAUGAAAGAUUAUUCAUACUAAAACUAUACUUAAUGUAGUUCAAAUAUGAAAUCAGUAAUUAAUUACAAUAUAAGCAUAGAUGAAACAGAAAAACCAAGAUACAAUAGUUUCCUACCACUGCUGAGCUUGACAAUGAAUUCCAGUGAUAUGCAAGUAAAAAAUAUCAGAAUCUAAAAAAAAGGGAAUUGAUUUGACCAGAAUUCAUUAGUAUAUAUUUCUUUCUUGUGCAUUCACAGUUCACACACCCAAUUUCCAAAGACAAUCAUAACUAACCAUUAGUGUUACUUCAUAAUCAUAAAAAACUAAGCCAUCAAAAUGCUAAAAUAAAACCUUUUCUAAUGUUACAGAUGUUAGUGUAUCAAUUCAAUAUCUGCAUAAGCAUUACCUGCAACCUCUUAAUUCCUGGCACUUGAAAUUCAAAACAGUUCAUGGGAACCUUUAAGAUAACAAUCCUCAACAGUUACAUGUUACGGUUCUCAUUCAUUAUUUUUUAUAUAAGCAAGAAGAUAUAUCUCAUCAUGAGACACCGAACAUUCUCCGCAUUUAACUAAACCCACGUUCAACAAAAAGCUGGACAUGCAAUUCAGAGACAACAAAUCUACAAACCAAAAGAUUGUUUGAUAAAUGAGCAAACAUAAGCUCACUACAAAAUACUUAGAAAAAAAAUCCUCACAGCGAAGUUGUUCCAAGAAACGUGAUCUCAAAAUUAUAUUAUUCUAGUGGAGCUUCCAAUUCCCUCUCUAUCUCGGCUCUGACAUUUCCUCUCCCAAUAGCAUAUCAUAUGAACCUAGCAACAUAAACUUGUUGAGAAAAGGAAAAACAAAAGUUUCUGCUCAACCACUUUUGUGAUUCUUCAGCUGGCAGCAUAGUAGAGUCAGUGGUAUCAACAUGCUGCACUAACUGAAGAUGAAAAAUCAUAUUAGAUAGGAAAUAAUCUACAUGACCAUAAUCAUUGAAGCAAAAGAGACAUUCAAUAAUUGAAGAGCUAAUAAUAUACCAUUGCCUUCAGAUCUAAUUCUUUCACCCAAAAGCAUCUCUCUUCCAAAUGCUUAUGUUUCUAUCAGUUGAUCCACUGCACAAUCCAAAUAGAAACAGAAAAAGAAGAAAUUGUAAAACCCUUGAUAGCAGAUACAGAUUGAGUAUAGUAAAGACGAUAAAGAAUAGUCAAUUCUGCACAAUCCAGAUGCAGAUUGAGUAAAGUAAAUUCUGUCUCAUAACUUGGGACAAUAACUAACCUCCUAACCAUUUCGAAUUCACUAAAAAAACACUCUUGAGAGACCAUUUAAGGAGUUCUUUUUUUGUGAAGAUAUGUUAUAUAUUUACCGUUUAUAAGCCAAGAAUUAUACAUAUAAGCAACAUGAGUCUUCAAUGUUCAUUUCAACUUGUUAAAGUUUAUGGUCAAGAAUCAGUACCUUACGGAAGUCCUCUAUUGUAUGAUGAGCAACAUCCUCCUCAAGAGACUUCUUAUGAAGAGCAUGAUAAGCCUUUCUCGUAGCAAACAAUUGUUCAGAGGACCUAGUGUAUGCUAUUUCCACCAGCACCUGAUUGCUUGAAGUCCAUCUCUCAGUUGCUUCGUUUGCCAAAAAUGCAUCACGUUUAGCGGAAUCAAGGGCCCAAACGUGAACCAGCCUCUCGUGAGGAGAAAAUUCAUAGUGCAUAUCAGUUUUAUACACUCAAAAUAAUAUGCAUUUGUGAUAUUAUCAGUUCUCAUUUCGAAACAAUUUGACAUCAUGUCACACACAGUUAAUCAGCUUAUUAAGUCUUCUUGGCUAGUUGGCCCUUAAGCUAGGUUUUAACUAUACUAAUGUAUUUAAAUUUCAUUUAACCAUGACUUAGGCUUUAAGAUAAAAUCAGUGUGAUAUGUUGCACAAUCAAUUAAAUAUUGCACAUCUAGGCAUGUACAUGUACAUCCACAGGUAUCAACAACAACUACAAUAAAGGCCUUUACCAAUCAGUUGGGUUUGAUUAUGAGGAUCUAAACAAUGAUGUGACUCAUUUCACAAAUCAUGUCUAAAGACAUACCAUCUUGGUUUGGUUUUAGAUAUUUCAUAACUAUUUGACCUACACUUUUAUGUACCUCAAAGUCACUGGCCAACUCUUUGUCCAAGGCCUUGAGAAGAUCUUCUCCAUAAGUUUCAGCAUAAGUUUCCCUGAUAGGCUUCCUUUGAGCAGUAUUCCGAUGACCCAAGAUCGAUAGAUCAGAUCCUCAUUAGUUCCCCAUCCUGCAAUCACAUUAGAAUACUUGAUUCACUUGAAAAUCCUAACAAAUGGAACCAGGAAAUGUGUUGAGCAUCGAAAAGAAAGAUCACACAACACAAAGCAAACCUGCACAAAGUUAAGUAUUUCUAUAAUUUAAAGUUACAAUGACCGUGAAAACACUGUGGUCAUUGAAAACUAUUGAAGAACUUAUUACCAUACUUUUGCACCCUUGUACUUGCUGCAUGGUUCCACAAAUAGCUUUGGUAGCUAUGUACAUACCUAAAAAUAUAUAAGCAAUGAAAUUAUAAGAUGAAGAAGAUCAAUAUUAUCCUUCAAAUAAAUAAUCUCAAAUAACAUCUCUAUUUGUUUUCAUAGCACACUUGACUUUGCACAUCACAGUAAAAGAUCACCAGAUAGACAGCCUGUAAGGUCCACUAAGAAACUUCAUAGGAAUUUCUUUCGUAUUUUCCUAGCUUUCAAAUUUUAUUUAUUCAUUUGUGUGUGGACUUCACUGUUUUGUAUUAAAAUACUAAAACAUUUCAUCAUAAAGCAAAAUAACCUAAUGUAAGCAAGCUCAAUGAAUUUAAUGUGAACUCAGAUGUGUACCAAGAUUUCAAAUAAAACAGUACUUUGCGCACUCUAAUUGCUUUGUCGAUCUCCAAGUUGACCUAUGAACACAGAAUCUGAUAAAAAAAAACAAACAAACGAACACAAAGAAAUCAUGUAAGUAAUUAUUCUGGCCAACCGAAAGAGAAGAUGAGACCAAAAUAGGGUAAAAUAAAAAAUGGUGCAAUGAAAAAAAGGAAUGACAUUAGGGAUAGCACCAUUGGCAGAAAGAGUGCAUAUUCCUCUUGGACUCUUCUGUGCGAAUGACAUAAUCUUUCCAGCAACAUCCUGCAAAGUAAUAAAGUAAGAUAUUUUUCUAGCAAAUCAAUGCUAUAUAGAUCUGUUCAAAUUUCUAUUUGAAUUUUAUGAAUCCAUAAGGCUAACAAAGUCUGCUGGUUUCAGCAUUACCUCUCCAGUAUAAACAGUCACCACAUGCGGUGUGAAAUCCCCAGCAGCAGAGCUUGCAAAAAACGUCAACUUCAAAGAGUCUUGCAAUCAGGGACCUCAUCUUCAACCCCUGAAGAACCAAAGACAAAUUAUGACAAAACAUCCAAAAUCUAUCAAUAAUGGAAAUCUAUCCCACCGUCUUAUGUUGAAUUGAAGGCAAAAUCGCAUCAAGCUAUUAUCUAUCUAGAUCAAAUAAAUAGAACCAAAUAUCUCAAUGCCUUUUGUGUUGAUUUCCAUGACUCUGCCCCUAACAGCUCCCUAACUUGUAACAAAUCUUGUGCAUGAACCCGGGCUCCAUUCUGUGCCUCUUCAACUGUCAUAGCAGGGGCCAUACAUGCAAAGUCAGAUGCAUUUGCACUCUGUGUACUAAAAAUGCCCUCUCCACCCUAAAUCAAGGAAGCCAUGGCUGCUAAAACCCCCACCCUUCUACUAAUUUUCAGUGAAAGUUCCUUCUGCUGGGAAUGCUGGAAAGAAGGUUUGACACACAAUUUGUAUUUGUAUGUUGGAAGCAAGUGUGUCAAGUUAGGUUACAGUAUGAAUGAUCUCAACACCAUUGUUCUGUGAACUCACCCCAGACAACAAUAUGAAAUGCAUUAAUUACUUCAUAGUAAUUACUAUUUAGUAGUCAAAAAUUCAAACCAGUGUAUUUCUAAAAGAACACAGUUUUAUAUGAUUGAAGUAUUGAACAUGAACACAUGAUGCUUGAUGAUGAACACAAAUAACACGACAUAAAGAAAGAAAAUUGAAUCGACCCAAAUGAAAUUCAAUUCAAAGUUUAUUCCUUUCUGCAAAUAGAACAACAUACCUCUUUUCAAGGAAUCCGCCCACUAUGUUCAGACACUAUCUCGAAUCCCCAUAACCUUCAUCAUCACAAUCGUGGGCAAAACUCAAACUGGCUCGCCCCUUCCGUCACCGUGGCGCGCUCCGUUGGAGGAAGAGGACGGAGAAUGAAGCGCUCUCACCGUGUGGUAUAGGCUUCUUGCAAAGGAAAACGGUGAGAAUUGAGAGAAAGGGAAAUUGAUGCGAAUAGGGAGUGAGAAACGGUGUUUGUUGAUGAGUGUGGUGAUACACAGUUUCUGCCCAAUUUAUAGAAGGGAAAUUCACAGAUCCGAUUUCCCCAAGAGUUUUGAAUUCAAAUUCAACAUUUACAUUUAGCUGUUCUGUAAUUCUUGCAGGGGAACGUGGCCGGAUAAAGGCCUUUACUGAAUCAAGCGAGAUCCGUAAUGGACAUUUAGCAAAUCUGUGCACAACGCAAUGGGGAAAUCGGCAAAAACGUGUGUGCUUUUUGCAGGUGGUUGGGAUAAUCUUCAGCUGCAAAUGUCUGACCUUCUGACAAAUUAUCAAUUCUGUGAUCCUUUCAAGGGAAUAUGGUCGAAAUCGUGCUCUUAAACUUUACAGGUAAGCUUAAAGUUGAAAAGGGUAUGCAGAAGAAAACAGGGAAGUGAAGUGAGAAAAGGGUGUGGGGAAGGAAUUGCUUGAAGUUUGACACGUGGACAUGCUCUUAGAGGAUGACACAUCAGAUUUUUGUCUUCCUUAAGCACUUGUGCUUUGUAUCUAGUAUAGACUAGUAUAGAUAGACUAGUAUAGAUUCCAAACCAAAAAAAUCUAGUUUAUUCACAAUGACUGAGAUACUCGCAUACCUGUUACUGUUGAUUCUCUUCUUCAUCUUUCCACUUCUCUUCUUCUUCUUCUUCUUCAAAUCUUCUUCUCCUUCUUCACCUACCAAUACCAACACCAUCACUCUCCCCAAAGCAUACCCACUCAUCGGUUCCUACCUCGCCAUCAAAGCCAACGCCCACCGCCGCAUACAGUAUUUCUCCGACCUUGUCCAAAUCUCCCCCGCCGCCACCUUCACCUUCCACCGCCCACUAGGCCGCCCCACAAUCUUCACCGGCAACCCCGCCACCGUACAACACAUCCUCAAGACCCAUUUCUCCAAAUACCAGAAGGGCAGCACCUUAGUAACCACCCUCUCCGACUUCCUCGGCUCCGGAAUCUUCAACACCGACGGCGAGAAUUGGAAGUUUCAACGACAAGUCGCCAGCCAUGAAUUCAACACCAAGUCUCUGCGGAAUUUCGUCGAACACGUGGUGGACGCAGAACUCUCCAACCGCCUCGUCCCAAUUCUCGCCGGUGCGGCGGAAAACAAAACCACCCUCGAUUUCCAGGACAUUCUCCAACGGUUCGCAUUUGACAACAUCUGCAAAAUCGCGUUCGGAUUCGACCCGGAGCUUCUCACGCCGUCGGCGGAACGGAGCGAGUUCGCCAGAGCUUACGAAGAAGCAAGAGAAAUCAGCUCCAGACGAUUCCGCGGCCCGUUACCGUUGAUUUGGAAGAUCAAGAGGAAGCUCAACAUCGGAUCGGAGAAGAAGCUUCGAGAAGCGGUUAGCGUGGUUCGUGAAUUCGCGAAGAGGAUUGUGAGAGAGAAGAAGCGAGAUCUGGGAAAGAAGGAGGCGGUGGAAUCGGUGGAUAUGUUAUCGCGGUUUCUGAAAUCGGGUCACUCCGAUGAAGAUUUCGUGACGGAUAUUGUGAUUAGCUUCAUUCUGGCGGGGAAGGAUACUACGUCGGCGGCGCUGACGUGGUUUUUCUGGCUGCUGUGGAAGAAUCCGAGGGUGGAGGAGGAGGUGGUGAGGGAGAUAAGGGAGAAGAGUUCGGAGGAGGGGAAGGUGUUUGAGGAAGUGAAGGAGAUGGUGUACACGCACGCGGCGUUGUGUGAGAGCAUGAGGUUGUACCCGCCGGUGCCGAUGGACACGAAGGAGGCUACGGAGGACGACGUUUUACCGGACGGCACGGUGGUGAAGAAGGGGACGCUGGUGACUUACCACGUGUAUGCGAUGGGGAGGUUGCCAAGCUUGUGGGGGGAUGAUUGGGCCGAGUUUCGACCCGAGAGGUGGUUGGAGAGAGAGGAUAUGAAAACGAAUCCGUCACCACAAACCUCAUUUCAAAAGUGGAGGUUUGUGGCCAGGGAUUCGUUUUCCUAUCCGGUGUUUCAGGCGGGGCCUAGGGUUUGUUUAGGGAAGGAAAUGGCGUUUUUGCAAAUGAAGAGGUUGGUGGCUGGGAUUCUCAGCCGCUUCACGGUGGUGCCGCUGCCGCACCUGGCGGAGGACCCUAAUUUUAUUGCCUUUUUGACUUCUCAAAUGGAAGGCGGUUUCCCCGUCACCAUCCACCACAGGAUUCCUUCUCCUUGAGAUUUAAAAAAGAAAAUAAUGCUGGUUGGUGUACGUCACUUGACUAGCUAGAUUACACAUUGUGUGAUUUGAUUUGUUUGUCUCUUGUUGUUGUUGUCAAAUGGUACUGUCAAUUCUUCUUCUAGAUACUCUUGUCAAUAAUCCUGUAUUAAUUUCUUCGCAUGAUGAAUGGAACAAUAAAACAUAAAUUAAGAAAGGUCUAGGAAUCUAUACUCUAUACUGAUUAGUGAUCAUCACAUUACAAAAACAGCUUCAACUAUAACUUUUUCUUCAUUAAAAUAAAAAAACAAUACUAGGUGUGUGCUCACCUAAGAAUUUUUUAUAAUUAGUUGUGCUCAAAAUAUGAAAAUAAUUAAUGUAUUAAUAUUGCAUUUACUAGUAAACAUUUAAAAAGAACUUGUGCUGUCAUCACCCCAUUGGCUGAUAGGGGGAUCAGUCACUAAUGCACCCAUUUAAGAUGUUUCCAGGCAUUGACAAAAUAUGUGCACUAAUAAAUGUGUUCAUCUAUUCGAUUAAUUACUUUCAUAACCUGAUUAGACUUUUGAUCCUAGCAAAGAACAACUAGUCAUGAAGAGAACAACUAGUCAUGAAGAUAAGACUUCUAUUGGUUUUAAUUUUUUUAUAUAUCUUGUGUAUGUUUAGACUUUGAUAUAUAAGUUGAGUGUAUAUAACUUGAACAAACCUUCAUCUUAAUUUAUAAAAAAAUUGAUUUUUUUAAUUUUAAAGUGCAUGCUAAUAUUUAUUUACAUAAUGUUGACAUGUAUUACAAACAGUUGCGAGUUAAACAAAAUUGGCCUAGUUGGUGGGUCCAAUCGAGAAUUAGUAGGUCUAGUUCGUCUAAAGAUCUCGAAAACGAAUACUAUAAAUGAUUGUUAUACGAGUAAAUUGAAUGGCUAGAACAAUGAAUGCUAAAGAUAACAUCUCUCGUAUCACACGCUAAGUAUGAUGAUGGAGAAUAGGAAUAGAACAUAGAGUGUUGAAUACGCAAAAUGUUACUAUUAGGGAUUGGAUUGUGUGUUGGUUUUAUCUGAGACAUUGUGUUCAUAUAAAAUGAUUUUUUUGAUUGUUCAUAUAAAAUGAUAAACCUUAAAGAAUGUAUGCUCACUUGCAUCCUAGCAUUGGGUUUGAAUUGCUUUAAUUAGUUCUCUCAGUCUCCUAGGUUUUACUUUGCGAAAAAGAAUGAAAUAUUAUAUUUUUAUGAUUCAAUGGUACUUAAGUACGAAAAGUACAUUCAGGAUUGAUUUACUAACUUCUCUUAAUCAUUGUAUCUUUAAGAAGGAAAAAGAUUCAUACACAUCUAAAUUACACCUCUACUUUAGUGAAUGAGAGAUAAAAGAGUGACAUGUAUAUAAUAGUAAAAAAUAAAGUGAAAGAGAGUGAUUUAUAAAAGUAAUUUUAGAAAGUCUUCUUAAGUGAAAGAUUUAUACAAAAGACUAAUCUCUUAUGAUACUUCUUUAUGAUGCACUUUCAAUAUUUUUUUUUUUCAACAAGAUAAAAAUUGAUUAUAAGUCUUAUUUCCAUUCUCUUAUGAUACGUCGAUUUGGAUGUCAUCUGAGAAUGCGUUCGAAGGCAAGUCAAGGAACCGGAUGGAGACAGAGAGGUGGGAGGGAACCGUACGUACCAAAGAGGAGAUUUUGGGGGAUGUUGAGAAUCUAAGGUUGGGAGAAGUGGAUGAAUGGCAAUUUAGUUAUUUUACUCAUUCAAUCUCAGUUAUUCAAUUAUUAUAUCAAUGGUGAGAAAAUUUUCAUGCGCAAAUACAUGAUUUACUAGAAAUUAAACCCGUGCGUUGCACGGGUUCAUUUUUAAUUUGUAUUUUUUAACUGUAAUAUUUAAAUUUGCAGAAAGGUAAGAAAGCUAUUAUUUAGAAGAAGAUUUAGAAUAUAUGUAUAAUUAAAUAUAAUUGAGUUAUGAUAUUCUCACACUUUCUUUCUCUAAUAAGGGAAAAAAGGAUCAAACAGGUAGAUUUCUUUUUUUUUUGCUUCAUCGGAAGAAAAAAUAGGUAGACUUCUAUUAAGAUUGAAAUGAGAGUAGUUUUUCUUAAUAUAAAAGAAAUUUAAUUACUUAAUUAGAUUAGUAUUGAAAUGAACGUGGUAGUCUACUAUUUUUUUUUAAUAUUGAUUUAGUCAUUGUAGUGAUGUUAUCAGUUAUGCUAACUUUUUUUAUCAAGAUUGAUGUGGUUGUUUACCAUUGCUGGUGCCUGGUGGCAUAGAAGUUCUUUUAAAAUCACUUUCACGAACAUAAAAAUAGAUUCUAUCUAACUGCAGGAUGGACAUCAUUUGUUCCCUUUGAAUGAUUAAGUUGCUAUUUUUUUUUCCAUAAUAUGACAAUAUUGAGGAGUGAAAGAUUCCUAUUUCUUAUUAAGAAUAUAGUGAGUACUACAUUUUACACUUAUCUUUCUAGUGCAGUAUAUAAAUUUAUGUGGCUCACACUUUAUUACUGAUUUGUGUCAUAUAAAUAUAGAAAUGAUGAUAUAUUUGUAUGAUUUCAAUUGAAUGAGAAGAAUUGUUUAGUAAAUUACCAUAUAUGUGAAACUCACAGUUUUAUUUUCCAAUCAUCUGCAACGGGGAUAUAUCACUAAGUAAUGUGUGUUUCUUGUUGUUGUUGAUGAUCUUUCUCCUGCAAUAAAGAAAUAAGAAUGAGUAAUUUAAAAAAGCAAUUUUGAAAUUAAAUAAAAUAAUUAAAAAUGACAUACUUGUUGAAGUAGUUAGAGACAAUUGUCAUUUUUUUCUCACCAGCAGCUGAAGUCUAAGAAAUAUGAAUAAUUUGAGUUUGUGAGUGAUUUUACUGGUUUGUUUAUAUAGAGAUAUAAUAGAUGCAUGGUUUAAUAUAAUACAUUUCAUUUUUUAUUUAUUUAAUGUACAUAGUUUAAUAGCCUCCUAACAUUAACAAUUUUAUUCAGUUUUUGACACUCGUAUUACCAUCAUGCCACUAUUUUUAAUUUAAUGUUAGUUUUUCUUCGGAGUUACUAUGUUAAGGAAUUCUAAGAGUUUGUGAGUUUAAGAAAAAUAGACAUAUAUUCCUGCAUAAAAUUGGACAGCAAACUAAGACCAUUGCAUAUCAAGAUUAAUUUUGGCGGAAGUAUGCUUUAUUGUUAAUAGUUUUUUUUUCUUGGACUAAAUUGAUAUUAGUUUAAAAUUAACAUUUAAUUUAAUUUUAAUUUAAGGUACUGUGCUAAAACCAUUUGCAGAUAUAAUUUUGUGGUCUGUUACACUUUUGGCAUGAAUGUUACUCUUUUGCUUAUACAUUUGGUAUUUAUUAAGUUUAAAACUGAAACCAUCAGUGCACAAGUUUCCACUACCCGUUCAUUCACUCACUAAGCUAUCUCAUUAAAACACCAGUUUUUUUAUUAAUGUAUGUAGGUUCUCAUGUGUAUUUGUACUUAAUACUUAGCUCAAGUGAGCUUUACUAAUAUAUAUAGAUUAGAUAAUGUAUCGUAACCAACGUUAUUAAUUUCAACAUAAACUUGAAUAAAAAUUUGGACAUCUUGCAGCUACAUAAAAAGUUAUUGAAUUGGAAAAGUUUAUCUCAUGAGUCAUGACAUUUCUCUCCAAAUAAUACAAAGAUCAUUUUGCUAGAAAUUGAAAAGUCAAGAUGAUACAACAUACAACUAACUUUUCUUACCGAUAUAGGUUGAUACAUCUUUGAACUUGUAUAUGAAAUUGUGGAAUUGCAAGUGUAAAGUUUUUGUCCUCUUCCAAUCCUCAUUUUCUUCCCACUAUUCUCUCUAAAACGAAACACAGCGUAACAAAUUCUCCCCUAAUCAAAACACGCUUCAUUCUGCAGCAUUUGUCAUAAUUAGAAAGAAGGGAAGAUGGAGGGAAUAGAGCACAGGACAGUGGAAGUGAACGGCAUCAAAAUGCACAUUGCAGAGAAAGGACAAGGCCCUGUGGUGCUAUUCCUCCACGGCUUCCCUGAGCUCUGGUACUCUUGGCGCCACCAGAUCUUGACUCUCAGCUCCCGCGGAUACCACGCAGUGGCUCCCGAUCUCAGAGGCUACGGUGACACCGAUUCCCCUAUUUCAAUAACAACCUAUACAUGUUUUCACAUAGUGGGUGACAUCGUUGCACUCAUAGACCAUUUGGGUGCCAAACAAGUCUUCCUUGUAGCUCAUGAUUGGGGAUCCAUCAUCGGUUGGUACCUCUGCAUGUUUCGCCCUGAAAGAGUGAAAGCCUAUG